rnacentral:rRNA from 1 species
CGGAACGGGUGAGUAACGCGUGAGGAACCUGCCUCAAAGAGGGGGGCAACAGUUGGAAACGACUGCUAAUACCGCAUAAGCCCACAGGUCGGCAUCGACCAGAGGGAAAAGGAGCAAUCCGCUUUGAGAUGGCCUCGCGUCCGAUUAGCUAGUUGGUGAGGUAAUGGCCCACCAAGGCAACGAUCGGUAGCCGGACUGAGAGGUUGAACGGCCACAUUGGGACUGAGACACGGCCCAG